rnacentral:rRNA from 1 species
AGAGUUUGAUCCUGGCUCAGGAUAAACGCUGGCGGCGUGCCUAAUGCAUGCAAGUCGAACGGGGUCCCUUCGGGGAUUUACGUGGCGGACGGGUGAGGAACACGUGGGGAAUCUGCCCUGAGGUGGGGGGUAGCCCGUGGAAACACGGGGUAAUUCCGCAUAGCCUCUUCUGCUAGUAGGGCGGGAGAGGAAAGCCUUCGGGCGCCUUGGGAGGAGCCUGCGGCCGAUUAGCUAGUUGGUGGGGUAAAGGCCUACCAAGGCGAUGAUCGGUAGCUGGUCUGAGAGGACGACCAGCCACAGGGGAACUGAGACACGGUCCCCACUCCUACGGGAGGCAGCAGCAAGGAAUUUUCCGCAAUGGGCGAAAGCCUGACGGAGCAACGCCGCGUGCGGGAUGACGCCUUUCGGGGUGUAAACCGCUUUUGUCAGGGACGAAGGCCGGGGCAACCUGGUGAGACGGUACCUGGCGAAGAAGGUCCGGCUAACUACGUGCCAGCAGCCGCGGUAAUACGUGGGGACCGAGCGUUGUCCGGAGUUACUGGGCGUAAAGGGCGUGCAGGUGGCUUGGUAAGCUUGGCGUGAAAGCCCCCGGCCCAACCGGGGAGGGUCGUCGAGGACUGUCAGGCUUGAGGGGCGCAGGGGUCGGUGGAAUUCCGGGUGUAGUGGUGAAAUGCGUAGAGAUCCGGAGGAACACCAGUGGCGAAGGCGGCCGACUGGGCGCACCCUGACACUGAGACGCGAAGGCGUGGGGAGCGAACGGGAUUAGAUACCCUAGUAGUCC